rnacentral:rRNA from 1 species
CCCUUAGAUGUUCUGGGCCGCACGCGCGCUACACUGACGAAGUCAGCGAGCAUGUCCUACGCCGACAGGUGCGGGGAAUCUUGUCAAACUUCGUCGUGAUGGGGAUUGAUUAUUGAAAUUCUUGAUCAUCAACGAGGAAUUCCUAGUAAGCGCAAGUCAGCAGCUUGCGUUGAUUACGUCCCUGCCCUUUGUACACACCGCCCGUCGCUACUACCGAUUGAAUGGUUUAGUGAGAUCUUCGGAUUGGCGCCACUGCGGCUCAGCAAUGGGCUCGGUGGAUGCCGAAAAGUUGAUCAAACUUGAUCAUUUGGAGGAAGUAAAAGUCGUAACA